UAUACCUAACUUUCUCUCUGUACGUAUAUAAAUAUGCCUACCGAGUCCAGUAGCUAGCAUGCCAAAGAAGAUGAAGAUGGCUAUCCUCAAUCCCAUUUUUCUAAUUGUUCUCAUCAGCUCAUUACAGAUCUCUUUGGGUACUUCUGCUUUGGCUGAAGUAGCAACUACUUCACAAGUGUAUGCAGGGUUACAGAAAACCUGGUUUUUGAAGUACAAAGAUAAUGAUUAUGCCCCAAAACCUUCACCACCGCCAGCUCCGAAACCUAGUCCGCCAAAAGUACCAAUUUCAGAAGACGUCCUAUCCGAGAGAGCUCCCCCAAGUCCGUACAUAGCUUCAGCUUGAAUGGUUCAAGCAUCGAUCAAUCCAUCGAUGAUAUCAGACAGAAGUUCAUUCAGAGAUUGUUACCACUCUCCAAUAUUUUCGAGGACCUGUAGGUUACUCAUCUUAAUACUUCUCUCGUCCAGUAAUUUUAAUUUCUAGUUUGCCCGGUGCAUCAUAUGAUCACCAAAUUGUUAAUUGCGGAUAAUGUCUCUCCUAUCCGUUUUAUAUUCAUUGGUUGUAAUUUUCGUAUGUGUAUAAUCGUAACUUUGUAUGCUUUCAAUAAGAGCAACUCAGUAGCACCUUGAAUUAAAUUUUCUUGUGAUUUUACAAA